CGUUUCGCUCUUUCCACAGCCCGAUUGCACAAAAGCCCGAUGACGGUCAAUAGCCUUCUGCCAAUAGCUUUUUGCCCAAUCAUUCGUCUCAGCAUCCCCCCACCCCACCCAACUACCUCCUAUUGCGCGAGAGAUGUGCUUUGUGUACGGCUCACGAUAAAUGAUGUUAAAUAGUCCGUGGCCGAGAUGAAUUUGCAGUUUGCGAGGAGGUCAGAAGAAACUAAUUUCGCCCCGAUUCAGCUCCACACGUGUGCGGCGUGGCGGUAUGUUUAGGGGAACAACCCCAUCUUAUGGGGGUAUGCUAUCAGCGGGAGUGGACCCGUGCCGCUCUUAUCAGCUGCUCGAAGGUGACAAUUUCAUUUGGCGGGCACUUGGUACAUCUAUCCCGCCCCUAUCUGCCUCUGCUCUACGCGCUGAUAAGCAAAUUAGCCUCCAAAAGGUGCUAUAAUUGUUUGCUCUGGCCCCCCAAAAGCGAGCGCGGGAGAGAGUGAGAGGAGAGAAGAGUGAAAGGCAAGGGCUAGGGGUGUGCAGAUAUAGCAUCGAAUUGGGGGCGUUAACCAACUUCUAAAGCCGUGAGCCGCUGCUUUAGCGGUCUAUUUUAUUUCGGUCUUUUGGUCUUUUGCCCACAGGCGGUUCUCACAUUUGUUAUGGCCAGAACAGGCCACCGAGCAGUGGCCGAGGAGAGCAGAGAAAGACAGAGAAAUCAUAAUAAAGAAAAGUGGCCGCGAAGAGUGCUUAAAGAAUGGAAAUAGAUGAGUGCUAACUUUAGAAGGUGGAGCGAUGGGGGUUAGAGAUGGAUAGGGGCCAGGUAUAAGAAUGGCAUGAUGGAACGUAGGGGGCAGGGCAGGAAAGUAGAAAGAAUUUCUACUUAUAACGAGUUUUUAUUACAAACGCGCGAAAGCGGAGAGACUCCCGAAAAGCUGCCGAAAAUGUAUUAAAAAAAGGGGGAAAAAGUGGAAAAAUAAGUAGUAAAAAUAAGUAAAAAUGGGCAAAGCGAGCGGGCUAACUGAAUUCCUUCUUAGAAAUGAGCAUGAAGGGAGAGGUGGGCCAAGGGGCUCCGCAUAAAAAGUAACAGCAUUUUUGCCUAGGCAGACGAUGACAGAGAGGGAGUGAGAGAGAGGAGAGAGAAACAGAGCGAGAGAAGGGAGAGAGGGCGACAGAUGACGACCAAAACUGCGAAAGCAUGAAGCAACAUUAUUCAAAAGAAAGCCAAGUUAAGGCAUGCCACCAAAAGAGAGAGAAAGAGACAGGGAGAGAGGAACACACACACACACACUCACACAAAACUGUACAUGAAGCGACAGAUACAUGGCAGCAUAAUGCAGCAGCAGCAGCAGCACCAGCAGCAGAGAGAGGGAAGGGGAGUGCAAAGUGGGAGUUGGGUGGCGGCAGCAGGCAGAUCGGGCCCAAGCAUUAAACAUCAUUCAGCAGCAGCGACGGCGGCGGAGGGAGUUCAACUAGGAGCAGCCGCAGCAGCAACUGCGACGCCGACAGAGUCGUUAGCAGCAGCAACAACAAUCACUUGCCGACAUUCUUUCAUUCGUACAACGACCUCGACUUUGAUUUGCAGUUUUUAGCCAAGCAGCGGGCCAAAGAAUGUUGUGCCAGCCAGCGAAGAGAGUCGGCCCCAAACAGAAGAGCGCGACAACGGCCUCUAGACGACCUACACGCCUGAGCAGUAGCAGCAGAGAUUGGGAGACAGAGAGAGCGAGAGAGAGCGAAAACGGCAACGCUGCUUUGACUUCGUGUCUGCUUCGCCGUCGUGUCGUCGGACUGCAGUCGUCGUCGGCGUUUGUCGUUUCAACGCUCUGCUGCUGUUCAGAGCUGCCAACUUCAUUCAUUCGUUUAUUCAUUCUUGUCUGUGCCGGUUGGCUCUUUUUGUAUCUCCGCUCCAUCUUCAACCUGGACUGCCACUACCACUGCCGCUGCCGCUCUUCUCCACUCUCUACUCUACUCGCACACACCCACAGCGGACACAUAGACGGAACAGCCGCCAGUCAGUGAAAAUUUUAAGCAAAGCCAUACACAAAACGAAAAAAAAAAACAGUAACAGUGAAAAAGAAAAGUGCGAAAAGUGAACAUUACGUCGAGUCGAAAAGAAAACAAUAAAUCGCCGCCCAGCCAGACAAUGCGUCAUUCGCUCAUUCAAUCAAUCUUGAAAUAAAAGCGGUGCUAUCGCAGCAGACACUCACUCACACAACCAGACACACGCAUGCAGUUGAACAGUUACAAUUACAAAGUGCGAAACGACCGGCUGGCCAGACAUCUCACCUCACAUACACACCCAGAGAUAGCAGACGGUAGAGGCAGAGGCAGAGGCUGGCUGCAGACUACAGUUAUCAGAAUGCGAGCCCCAGACUGAGACUCAGACGCCGCUGCCGGCGCUACACUGCCGUCGCCCGGCGCUGUCUGGAAUUUGUAUUUCACAUAUGUAUGCACACACACACACACAGACGAGAGAAUCAGAGGCAGCCACGGCUAACCGGAUGUUGCACACACUCUGGACCCCAGCACAGGCAGAGGCAAAUGCACAGGCACGAGCAGCCAUCUUUGUCAUCCUUCGAAUCUCAGCCUUGGCUAAGGUCGCUCCUGCCCUCCCAUCGAGCAGCAGCAGCAAUAGAGUGAGACAUACACAAAGUAACAUAGAGAAAGCGAGAGAGAGCGGGAGAGAGAAGUAAAUUUAUAAAAAAUGCUAGACUCCACUCAGCUACACUCCGCCCCGAGUGGACCGACUGACUGGUUUGGCGUGUUGGCCUGGCCAAAAUGGAUUUUUUACGGCCCCGAAUAAGCAACAACACAAACAAAAGCACACAAAAGCCGCAAAUGAAGAUCACAAAACUAGCAGAAACCGAAAUUGUGAAUGAUCUGUGGGGUUCGCUUCGGAAACAAAAAAUGAAGAGAAACUCAAUAGAUCUGAAAGAUAGAAAAUCGGAUGUUUUUUCGGUAUCUGGUUACUGGUUCCUACUCCUCGCUCCUGCUUUUGGCUCUGGAAAAUUCCAGAUGAGGCCAAGCUGCAUGCCACACAGGACGCACUUACCCGCACACAUACAGACCCUCCACGCUUCAUACUCCACACACUUGUACACGUAGGCACUUCCGGAAUGUAAUGGAUGGCCCCGGACUUGACUUGGCUUGACUUUAGGCUCUCGACUCUCCUCCGGUGGCUCUGGGCUCCGGGAUCGUGGGGCAUGGAGCAUGGAAGACUUGACUUGGACGCUUCAGAUUCGUCGACGGACUAUGCGGGCAGUGCUGUGCGGAUGUUAUGGACAUCAUCAGCUCCAUUAAUUUGGAGGCGAAGGACAUACCUCCCGCUCUCGUCACCUCCAGCACCGAAUCGGACUUUUCCCGCACGCAUCAUUAAACGAGUAUCCCCGAACGAGGCCAUUCACAAAUUAAAGUGCCAUAGAACUUCCCGACCACGACCACGCCCUGGGUGAGCAAAGCCAAACAAACAGCCAAGAGAAAAGGCCAAGAAUUGUGUGUUCCGUCCCUGACCCCUGCCUCCUGCCCCUUGCCUUUGAUGUCGGAUGUGAGUGAUUAUAAAUAAAGAAGAUUUCGAAGCUCCCACCUGGAAAGCAGGCGGAACGAACGGCUCCGCUCCAUGGAGUUUCCCCCGAAUCAAAUGGCAGAAGGCGGAAACUGAAAUGUCCAUGAGGAAUCCUGGAUUUAUAUACAGCCAAAACGUGAGCGUGGGCCUGGGCGUGGACAGGAGCUGGGAGCAACUGCACGCAAGCGUUCGAGCCCAUCUUCCUGCCUACUGCUCGAGGCGUCUACCUGUCAUACUUACACGGUUGGCUGCAUGCAACACGCCAUGAAUUUCGUGACGCAAUCAGACACCCCACACCCCUCGCUUUUGUCCAGCCGCUGGCGGAAGUGCGUGGCAUGACGCAGCUCAAAACUUGGCUCCAGGAACGAGAGCAGAAAUUAUGCCACUUCGGAUUUGCACAUGCCCCCGCAAGCUGGACAAGGCGGGACAGGACAGGAUCCGAGCCGGGUCGUGCCACCCCUCUUUGCCUAUCAAUCAGUAUAGGAGGCUGAGCCAGCGCUAGGCACCACAUCUGGGGCAUUUAAAUCCAUCAUACGAGUAUAUGUAUCAAUCACGGCUGAAAGGGAUAGGGGAGGACUAGGGAUCGGGAUAGGGCGCGGCCAUGUGAUAGACACACGGGUAUUAAAACUACUGACAGUCGCAAUUUAUAAUCAAUUGUGGCACACAAUUAAAUCAAUUGCUGCUCUCAAAAGGGAUGAAAACUCUGUGGCAAUGUGUAAGCGAAGGUGGAAGGGAAGGGCGAGUGGGUUGGGGGUGGUGUGACUCAUUGAUGAAUUUCCAAAACAAUUAGAAUUUCCGAUGAGAUAGGGUGAAAAACGGGGGAGAUGGAAAUGGAAAUCGAAAUGGAAGUGGGAAGAUGAACGGUGGGCCAGUGGCAGUGUCAAGGCAGAAAAUGUAUUCAUUUCCACUUGCAGCUUCGAAAUUUAUUGCAUAUUUAAUGAGUUUAAGUUCAGGCAGAAACUAAAAUGGAAUGCAAUUUCGGGCAUGACUCUCGGAAUGUCUCUCUCUGCGACUGUCUUUCUGUCUGUGUGUAUCCUUCUCUCUUUGAUUCUCCCUUCCUCUGUGGGUCUGUGUGUGUGCGUGUGCGGGUGCUCUGGCGAUUUCCUGUUUUGUGGCUAGCAAUUGAUUUGUUUGCAAUUUAGAUGCGAACUCGAUUCGAAACUGACUGCCUGCCUGCCUGCUGGGAAAUUAGUUAAAUUGGUUUUGUUACAGAUGCGGGUCACAGGACGAGGAGUAGGAGUAGGACGGGGAUGUUGACUCAAACUUAAUGCACAAGUCAAUGGGCGAGCGAGCUUUGAGCUAACAUUGCGUAUACGCCGCGUUGCGCUCAUAAAUAACAAAAUCGCAUUAAUUUAAAACUCAUUUCGUGAAUAAACACAGACAAACCGAAUGGGGACGGUGGUGGCUCGGAUGAGGCCACUGGGUGGCCAUGCGUGCCUGGGUGCAUGGGUGCAUGGGUGGACAUGGGUGGUGCAACGGCAAACUGCAUUUUAAAUUAAAAUUAAAAGUCACUUGCUCCCAUUAUCGCCAGCAGCAGUGUGGACAGCCACGAAGCAGCGAGGACAACGAGGACAAAACCCCAGAUCGGGGGCUGUCCUUCUCAUCCAUGUCCUGUACGAGGCGAUAAAUAAUAUAUAUUGUGCACGCAUACAAUUAUGUUCCCUUUUGGCAGUCGCUGGAGCGGCUCCUGCUGCCAAAGGAUUCGUGCGACUCUGGCCAGGUGCAAAUAUCUAAAAACAAUGCCAUGAUUUAUGCAUGCAUGCCGGGCGCGUUUUAAGCCAUAAUUUUCUUGAAUAUUGCUCAAUGAAACAUGAAUAGUCGAAUAUCAGCCAGCGAUUAAAUCCUAUGCGACAGACGCUGCGUGUGCGUGAUAUUCGUUCGACUAACACUCAUCCCGUGGCAACUUAAUUGGAUUUCCAUUGCCAUUUGAUCACUGAAGGGGUUGGCUUCCUCUUGGACGGGAACGGGUGUGAUUGAUAUUUAAUUAAAAUAUUUAUUUAUUUGUAAUUAAGUUGAUUGACUUUUCAAUAGGCGACCACAACAAAAACCGAAGCUACCAUGACCAGUGCUUAUUGCGGAGUAAUAAUGUGAAGAAACUGAAUAUUCAACCGAUUUCCCUUUUAUCAAUCCUACUCAUGUUUGCAGAUGGGCUCUGGAUCUGGAGGAAAAUACCUUUGCCCUGGACAAACAAAACACCCAUUAAUAUCAGGCUUCCGUCGGUUUAGGGCUGGGACAGGGACUGCAACAAUUAUUUAUUUACUCCAAUUUGCUGCUCCCCCCCUACCCAUCCUGCGACCUCCCUGAGUGUAAUGGCAAAUAAACCAUAAAUUAUAUUUCCAAAUUUGAUUGCCGGGUUCCAUAACAAAUUUGAUAUGACUUGACUACUUUUUCCCCAUUGGAGGAGGUUCCUGUAUGUGUCUAUGUCUGUAUUUUCCUGUGUCCCUGUCCCUGUCAUACUUUGAAUGCUUAAAUGACUAAAUGAAUGAAUGCAUUAUGUAUGCCUCCGACACAUGCCUCUUUCUCUGCGAAAUUAAUUUUUAAGCUACGAGCAUACGCAUUUAUUUGGAAAUUGAAGGGAAUGUCGUUUGUCGUUUGUCCUCUGUCGUCUGUCGAUGUCAAGGAAUUGCAAAUCGAUCUGUCUCUGCAAGGGUCUGACUGGCUGGCUACACCCAGUGCCCGGCCCUGCUGCCGGCAAAGAUUUAUGAGCCAACGCAUAAAAACGUUCAUUGAAAACACAUUUUCCAUCUUUGGCUAUCUCUCUGGCAUCUCUGCUUUUCCACUUCCACAUCCACUGUGGCGUGUGGCGCCUUGCACAGCUCUGGAGCCUGGAAUUGCAAAUUCAAUAAAGCAUUAUAUAAUAUUGCCAAGUCCCACACACUCUCACACAUACAUGGUCCCUCCAUGCGAGUGCAAUAAUUUACAACAUUUUAAUCGAAUUAGACGCUGACUCGGAAGGGGCCAAGGGAGAGGCGGACCUUGGCCAAGGGGCAAAAUGCAUUUUAAGUGCUGCAGUCGACGGCUGUGAAGAACACUUUGGCACUUGGUAGCAUCGAAAGCGGAAAGACAAAAAAGAAAUUAUACACACCACAAUGGGGGUAGAAAGGAUAGGGGGGAUCCGCGGGAUCCGUUCUUGAACAUGUGCCAGCGAAUCUCUCUGUCCAGGGCCAAAUCUCAGUGGCUGAGGGAAUGGAAAUGGGACAUGGGAUGGGAAAAGCACGUUAGUCGAGCGAUUGGUUGAUAAUUAUGGGGCAGGCAUCUCUCUCUCUGACUAGAGGUGUCCUGCGGGAAAUGUGCAGUCAAUAUUCGUGGCACUAUCCUUGCACGUGGCCGCCAUAAAGUCUGUUCUUUCGUGAAAUUCGUUCUGCUAAAAAUUUCAAAACAUUUUAUUUACCAUUCCAAGAGCUUACUGCGCCACAUGCAUCCAGACCCAAGUGCAACGGGGCAAGGGCACAACCAGCGCCAGAGAAUUGUCAUAAAUUCCAGGCAAUAAAUUUAUAUUUGUUUUAUUUUGCCAUUCUAGUUUUUAUGUUUUUUUGUUUGCCCUGCCCCUAACCCUGCUUCUGUCCCUGCCCCAUGCCUAUGGGCCAAACUGCAGAAUGUCAGCUAUUGUGGAGCCCCAGGCCCCAGUUCUCCAGCUACACCCAACUCCAAUCCCAUCUUCAUGAAUCUUCCCAUCUGCAUACAGUAGAAUACUCCGCUCCUGCGAAGCGUGC